CUCAUUCCUUCAGUGUUGAAACAUUCUCAGCUGAACCAGACUCCAAACCAAGUUCACUGGAGUUUGUUUCAAUAUUGCAAGAAUGAUAAUAUGAUGCU
rnacentral:pre_miRNA from 12 species